GAUAAAGAGAGAUCAGAAAUACAUGAGGCAGAGGAAGCAAGGUUGAAGAGAAUUGAGAAAUACAUAUCAAAGCAUAGACAUAGACGUAGAUAUUGAUAAUAGGAUUAACUGAAUGGAUCAGUUUAAUUUUUUAAGUGUCAUAUUAAUUUUAUACUUGUAUAAUUUUGUAUUGCAACUGUGCCAAAAUUACUUGCUACAUUAUGUAAUAAUUUCUACUCAAUGAA